rnacentral:tRNA from 2 species
UUCGGGCUAGUGUAAGUAGCACAUAAAAUUUUCACUUUUACAGAGGGGUUUUCCCGCCCGAAU